rnacentral:rRNA from 2 species
CCGAAGCGGGGGAUAACAUUUGGAAACAAGUGCUAAUACCGCAUAAUUAGUUGGAACCGCAUGGUUCCAACUUGAAAGAUGGCUCUGCUAUCACUUUGGGAUGGACCCGCGCCGUAUUAGUUAGUUGGUGAGAUAAAAGCCCACCAAGACGAUGAUACGUAGCCGACCUGAGAGGGUAAUCGGCCACAUUGGGACUGAGACACGGCCCAGACUCCUACGGGAGGCAGCAGUAGGGAAUCUUCCACAAUGGACGAAAGUCUGAUGGAGCAACGCCGCGUGAGUGAUGAAGGUUUUCGGAUCGUAAAACUCUGUUGUUAAAGAAGAACAAGUGUUAGAGUAACUGUUAACACUUUGACGGUAUUUAACCAGAAAGCCACGGCUAACUACGUGCCAGCAGCCGCGGUAAUACGUAGGUGGCAAGCGUUGUCCGGAUUUAUUGGGCGUAAAGCGAGCGCAGGCGGUUUUGUAAGUCUGCUGUGAAAGCCCUCAGCUCAACUGAGGAAGUGCAGUGGAAACUACAAAACUUGAGUACAGAAGAGGAAAGUGGAACUCCAUGUGUAGCGGUGAAAUGCGUAGAUAUAUGGAAGAACACCAGUGGCGAAGGCGGCUUUCUGGUCUGUUACUGACGCUGAGGCUCGAAAGCAUGGGUAGCGAACAGGAUUAGAUACCCUGGUAGUCCAUGCCGUAAACGAUGAAUACUAGGUGUUGGAGGGUUUCCGCCCUUCAGUGCCGCAGCUAACGCAUUAAGUAUUCCGCCUGGGGAGUACGACCGCAAGGUUGAAACUCAAAGGAAUUGACGGGGGCCCGCACAAGUGGUGGARCAUGUGGUUUAAUUCGAUGCUACGCGAAGAACCUUACCAGCUCUUGACAUCUUCUGCCAACCCAAGAGAUUGGGCGUUCCCUUCGGGGACAGAAUGACAGGUGGUGCAUGGUUGUCGUCAGCUCGUGUCGUGAGAUGUUGGGUUAAGUCCCGCAACGAGCGCAACCCUUAUUAUUAGUUGCCAGCAUUUAGUUGGGCACUCUAGUGAGACUGCCGGUGAUAAACCGGAGGAAGGUGGGGACGACGUCAAAUCAUCAUGCCCCUUAUGAGCUGGGCUACACACGUGCUACAAUGGAUGGUACAACGAGUCGCGAAACCGCGAGGUCAAGCUAAUCUCUUAAAGCCAUUCUCAGUUCGGAUUGCAGGCUGCAACUCGCCUGCAUGAAGUUGGAAUCACUAGUAAUCGUGGAUCAGCAUGCCACGGUGAAUACGUUCCCGGGCCUUGUACACACCGCCCGUCACACCAUGAGAGUUUGUA